AUACGGAGGAUCCGAGCGUUAUCCGGAUUUAUUGGGUUUAAAGGGUGCGUAGGCUGUACUGUAAGUCAGCUGUGAAAAUCCCCCGCUCAACGGGGGGAGUGCAGUUGAAACUGCAGUGCUGGAGGGCACAAGAGGCAGGCGGAAUUCAUGGUGUAGCGGUGAAAUGCAUAGAUAUCAUGAAGAACUCCGAUUGCGAAAGCAGCCUGCUGGGGUGCAUCUGACGCUGAGUCACGAAAGUGCGGGUAUCAAACAGGAUUAGAUACCCUGGUAGUCCGCACGGUAAACGAUGAAUACCAGCUGCCGGCGAUAAACGGUCGGUGGCGUAGCGAAAGCGUUAAGUAUUCCACCUGGGGAGUACGCCGGCAACGGUGAA
rnacentral:rRNA from 1 species